GGAAUGAUAGGAGUUGGGAGGGUGGGAAUAAGAGGUGUUGACAUGUAUCGAUUAAGUACCUGCUGAACUUCUGCUGCUGUGCUCCUGAAGAGUUCAAUGUAACGCUUUCCAAGUAUUUCUUUGUGCUUUUUAAGUGCAUUCUGUGCAUAUUCUUCACAGGAAAACAACACAAAUGCAUCUCCUGUGGGCCUGCCAUCUGGAUACUUGACAAAGAGAAGUCCUUCUUUCCCGCCUGUGACUGGACACUCUGGCCCCAGGAAUCCCAAAACAUCCUCCUGAGUAGCAGUGAAUGGAAGACCUCUCAUUCGGAUGAUAACUUGAUUCUCUUUAGAUAAGAACUGGGCCACUUCAUUGGAGGUACCUCCUGCAAUUUUUAAG
rnacentral:lncRNA from 1 species